rnacentral:rRNA from 1 species
AUUGAACGCUGGCGGAAUGCUUUACACAUGCAAGUCGAACGGCAGCACGGGGGCAACCCUGGUGGCGAGUGGCGAACGGGUGAGUAAUAUAUCGGAACGUGCCCAGUCGUGGGGGAUAACGUAGCGAAAGUUACGCUAAUACCGCAUACGAUCUACGGAUGAAAGCGGGGGAUCGCAAGACCUCGCGCGAUUGGAGCGGCCGAUAUCAGAUUAGGUAGUUGGUGGGGUAAAGGCUCACCAAGCCAACGAUCUGUAGCUGGUCUGAGAGGACGACCAGCCACACGGGGACUGAGACACGGCCCAGACGCCUACGGGAGGCAGCAGUGGGGAAUUUUGGACAAUGGGCGCAAGCCUGAUCCAGCCAUUCCGCGUGCAGGACGAAGGCCUUCGGGUUGUAAACUGCUUUUGUACGGAACGAAAAAGCCUUGGCUAAUACCCAGGGUCCAUGACGGUACCAUAAGAAUAAGCACCGGCUAACUACGUGCCAGCCGCCGCCGUAA